rnacentral:lncRNA from 1 species
CUGGUAACCUCACAGGGACAGACACUGUGCACGGACAGACUCACCAGGAGGGGAAGAACCUUCAUCACCAUCUCCUGUGUAGGCUCUCUCUCUCUCCCCUCACCUCUCUCUCUCUCUCUCUCUCUCUCUCUCUCUCUCUCUCUCUUCCCUCACCUCUCUCUCUCUCUCUCUCUCUCUCUCUUCCCUCACCUCUCGCUCUCUCUCUCUUCCCUCACCUCGCUCUCUCUCUCUUCCCUCACCUCUCUCUCUCUCUCUCUCUCUUUCUUCCCUCACCUCUCUCUCUCUCUCUUCCCUCACCUUUCUCUCUCUCUUCCCUCACCUCUCUCUCUCUCUCUCUUCCCUCACCUCUCUCUCUCUCUCUCUCUUCCCUCACCUCUCUCUCUCUCUCUCUCUCUUCCCUCACCUCUCUCUCUCUCUCUCUCUUCCCUCACCUCUCUCUCUCUCUCUCUCUCUCUCUUUCUUCCCUCACCUCUCUCUCUCUCUUCCCUCACCUCUCUCUCUCUCUCUUCCCUCUUCCCUCACCUAUCUCUCUCUCUCUCUCUCUCUCUUCCCUCACCUCUCUCUCUCUCUCUUCCCUCACCUCUCUCUCUCUCUCUCUCUUCCCUCACCUCUCGCUCUCUCUUCCCUCACCUCUCUCUCUCUCUCUCUCUCUCUUUCUUCCCUCACCUCUCUCUCUCUCUCUCUUCCCUCACCUUUCUCUCUCUCUUCCCUCACCUCUCUCUCUCUCUUCCCUCACCUCUCUCUCUCUCUCUCUUCCCUCACCUCUCUCUCUCUCUUUCUUUCUUCCCUCACCUCUCUCUCUCUCUUCCCUCACCUCUCUCUCUCUCUCUCUUCCCUCACCUCUCUCUCUCUCUCUCUCUCUCUUCCCUCACCUCUCUCUCUCUCUUCUCUCUCUCUCUCUUCCCUCACCUCUCUCACUCCAUCCCAUCUGAAUCCACCAGUGAGCUCCCUUUUAGCCCAGCAUUAAUCCCAGAGUUUUGUUUGGAGUUCAUUUGUUUGUCUUAA